GAUGAAGAACGUAGCGAAAUGCGAUAAGUAGUGUGAAUUGCAGAUUUCAGUGAAUCAUCGAAUCUUUGAACGCACAUUGCGCCCGCCAGUAUUCUGGCGGGCAUGCCUGUUCGAGCGUCAUUUCAACCCUCAAGCACAGCUUGGUGUUGGGACUCGCGUUAAUUCGCGUUCCUCAAAUUGAUUGGCGGUCACGUCGAGCUUCCAUAGCGUAGUAGUAAAACCCUCGUUACUGGUAAUCGUCGCGGCCACGCCGUUAAACCCCAACUUCUGAAUGUUGACCUCGGAUCAGGUAGGAAUACCCGCUGAACUUAAGCAUAUCAAUAAGCGGAGGA
rnacentral:misc_RNA from 1 species